AGUGAACGCUGGCGGUAGGCCUAACACAUGCAAGUCGAACGGCAGCACAGUAAGAGCCUGCUCUUACGGGUGGCGAGUGGCGGACGGGUGAGGAAUACAUCGGAAUCUACUUUUUCGUGGGGGAUAACGUAGGGAAACUUACGCUAAUACCGCAUGCGACCUACGGGUGAAAGCAGGGGAUCUUCGGACCUUGCGCGAUUGAAUGAGCCGAUGUCGGAUUAGCUAGUUGGCGGGGUAAAGGCCCACCAAGGCGACGAUCCGUAGCUGGUCUGAGAGGAUGAUCAGCCACACUGGAACUGAGACACGGUCCAGACUCCUACGGGAGGCAGCAGUGGGGAAUAUUGGACAAUGGGCGCAAGCCUGAUCCAGCCAUACCGCGUGGGUGAAGAAGGCCUUCGGGUUGUAAAGCCCUUUUGUUGGGAAAGAAAAGCAGCAGGUUAAUACCCCGCUGUUCUGACGGUACCCAAAGAAUAAGCACCGGCUAACUUCGUG
rnacentral:rRNA from 1 species